AAAGGGAGACCUAAUUCAGGUAUAAGACGAAAAAAAAGUAGUCCCUACCAAGAAUCAAUCCCAAAAGGUCGGAACGAGGUAUGAGGCUUUCAAACUAGGUUCUGGGUUCAUAAAAGACCUGAAUCAGGAACAAGGGCUAUUAGCUCAGGUGGUUAGAGCGCACCCCUGAUAAGGGUGAGGUCCCUGGUUCGAGUCCAGGAUGGCCCACCUGCACAGGUGGCAAAAACAAAAAAGCUCCGAAUCAGCACCUUAUCUUACUUAUAUAGUAAGAGAGAAUGCUGGCUCUGAGUACAGAGUCCAGAGGAACCUUGAAAACUGCAUAGAGCUAGGUGAAAAAGCCAAAAAAGAAGACCGCAAG
rnacentral:tRNA from 1 species